UACGUAGGAUGCAAGCGUUGUCCGGAGUUACUGGGCGUAAAGGGCGCGCAGGCGGUUUCUCAAGUCUGAUGUGAAAUAGCUCGGCUUAACCGGGCAGGGUCAUUGGAAACUGGGAGACUGGAGUGCAGGAGAGGUUAGCGGAAUUCCCGGUGUAGUGGUGAAAUGCGUAGAUAUCGGGAGGAACACCAGUGGCGAAGGCGGCUAACUGGCCUGUAACUGACGCUGAGGCGCGAAGGCUAGGGGAG
rnacentral:rRNA from 1 species